rnacentral:lncRNA from 7 species
AGGUUUGUCUUUGCUGCAGGUGUUGCUGAGGUGCUGAGUGCCCCCAGGAGCAAGUGGAGCUGGCAGCUUGCAGAGGCAGCAGCCCCAUGCACCCCAAAGCACAGCAUUGUGGCACAGCCGUGGGACUGGGCAUGCAGCAGUGAUCUGACAGAAGCUGAAGCCAAAUCCCCAGGAUAGGACAGGACAUGAGGACACAGCACGAAGGGGAUCUCAUGGCAGGCCGGGCUAUUUGUUAGCUGCGAACGAGCAGCAUCGUUGUGAAGAGGAGUUCCUGUGUUCAGAAGCAGAGGUGUUGGCUUUCAUCUGCCCCUCAGGGUCCUGCAAAGCCCGUGGGGGUGCUGAUGUCAGCUGUUCCGUGCAUGGCGUAAAGGUGCUGGAGCGCUGUGCUGCAGCAGAGCAUGCAGGCUGCAGGGUUGGUGCUUCAUAGCGCCCGCAGGAUUUGGCCCUUGUAAGCAACACAUGGACAGGGGGAUGGAAAUGGGACGCCAGGCACAGCUCACUGCAACGCACAGCCCACGUCUCUCCGGCCCCAUAAUUUUUGUUGGGAAGUUUUAUCUUUUUAAUUUGUUACGUAUCGUGCAUCGGCUGAUUAAUUAUUGCCUCUCUGCAGGGAGGGCUAGAGUUUAUAGAGCAAUAUAGCACCAGUGUUAGCUUUACACACCCUCGAAGCCCAGAGGACGUUUGGCGGAGUACUUACGCGAUGUUCUGUCGAUAAUAAUGACUCAGCACUUGGCUGGUCUGGGGGGUCUAUCAGAAGUGCUUUAUUAACGUGGGGCUGCUACAUGCACCGAGCACCAAUGCAGUGCAGUGUGUGUGGGGCAAGCUUGGAUUGCUGACCUGUCCUUCAGCACCAGGAAUGCAGAAAUAGCCACAAUAAAAUUCCCUUUACGGCCACAUCCCUCAGUCAGCUGUGAGAGCCCUCUCCCUGAAGAAGUGUUCCCUUACAGCAAACAAUAUUAGGAAGGUUGUAGAAGUGAUUGGGGAAGGUAUUGCGGCAGGACUAACAGCAAUGAAAUGCAGUUGAACAUUUCCAGCGCUGAGUAAACCAUAUGUCUUCAUAAUUUGAUUGUGCCCCGGCCCCUUAGGUGCCUCCCAGCUCUAUUGAACACCGAUGGAGUUAUUUA